UACUAAUGCAACUGCGAAUAGCUGUUUAAUACAGUCGUAAUUGUAUUGACUUAGUAUAAUGUUAAUAAUAGUUAUUUAUAGGAUAACUAAGGGAAAGUUUGGCUAAUACGUUUUAACAGUAUUAUAAUUCUUAAUACACAUAUAAUAAUAUUAUAAUAUGAUAAAUAUUAUAUAAAUAUUUUAAUACAUUUAUUUGUAUUAAUAUAUAGAGUUGACUUUAUAAUAUUUAUUUAUUAUAAAGCAUGUCAAACAAGCAUCUAUAGCAUCAAGUCACAAUGUUGGCAUGUGUAUUAUUGAACCUUCAAAGCAUUUACGCAUUCGGAGGAGUAGUUUCUGAUCCCGUCGAAGGUGCCUGAGAGACGGCACUUAGUUCUAAGGAACGCAGCAGGCGCGUAAAUUGCCCAAUGACAAAACAUGUUAUAAUAAAAUAUAUAAUGUAUAUAUAUUGAAUACUCAAUAUUUAAUUGAGGCAGUGACAAGCUGUAAAGAUUGAAUAUAUUAAUUAAGAUAACAUUUGGAAUUGUCGUUUUAUAAUAUUUUUUAAUAUUAUAUUACUUGAUAAUAUACCAAUGUUAUAAAAUAUUCAAUUUGAAUGCGGUGAAUGUAAUAAUUUCAAGUAACAUGUAUAAAAUAUUUAUAUUUUAUUAGUUAUCUGAAUUUUCAAGUGGAGGGCAAGUCUGGUGCCAGCAGCCGCGGUAAUACCAGCUCCACUAGCUUAUACAAUCAUUGUUGCGGUUAAGAGGCUCGUAGUUGGAUUGAAUAAAACAUAUAUACACAAUACUGUGAACAAACCAGAGUGUAUAAAACAUGUAAUAUAUUAUAUAUUUAGCAAUGAAUGUUUUAUCAUGGAAUAUUGCUAUAAUGAAUAUUAAUAUCGAUGGAGAUAGUUGGAGUUAAGAGUACUGAUAGGCGAGCGGUGAAAUGCAUUGACCCUAUUAAGACUAACAAAAGCGAAAGCACUUAACUAGAUUAUUCUCUUUGUAUUAUUUUACAAUGAAGAGCGAAGGUUGGGGGAACAAAGAGGAUCAGAUACCCUCGUAGUCCUAUUUUUACAUCAAACUAUGGGAUUUCAUUCACACUAAACACUAAACAUUAUAAUUAUAAUUAUGAUUGAGUAUAUGUCAAAAUAUUACUCUCAUAUUAAAUAAUUAUUAUAUAUAUGAUUAUAUGUACUUUGAGCUCAUAUAAUUAUAUAGGUGAGAUGUAAGCAUUAUAAAGUGAAUAAUAUACAAGUAAUAUUGUAUUAUUAUGAUCUUUAAAAUAAAAAAUGUAAUGUGAUGCACGUUUUAGGUACGAGCUUACUAUAGAAAUAUUUAAAAUAAUACCCUCCUGGGGUAGUAUGCACGCANNNNNNNNNCUUGAAGGAAUUGACGGAAGGGCACCACAAGAACGCGUGGAGCAUGUGGCUUAAUUUGACUCAACCCGGGAAAUCUUACCAGGUCCAGACAUAUUGAGGAUUGACAGGCGAUAGUAUAUAAUUCAUUUAUAUGCAUAAAAAUGAUAGUCCUUUCAUGAUUAUAUGAUAGGUGGUGCAUGGCCGUUCUUAGUUCGUGGAGUGAUUUGUCUGCUUAAUUGCGUUUCAGUAAAUAAAAUAUAUAAUAUAUUAUAAUAUUUAGUUCUGCCUUGAAUAUUAUUCAAGGAUUUAAAGUGAACAUAUUAUAUAUAUUAUUAUAUAAUAAAUGAAUGC
rnacentral:rRNA from 1 species